UGCCGGCGAGUGGCGAACGGGUGAGUAAUACAUCGGAACGUGCCCUGUAGUGGGGGAUAACUAGUCGAAAGACUAGCUAAUACCGCAUACGACCUGAGGGUGAAAGUGGGGGACCGCAAGGCCUCAUGCUAUAGGAGCGGCCGAUGUCUGAUUAGCUAGUUGGUGGGGUAAAGGCCCACCAAGGCGACGAUCAGUAGCUGGUCUGAGAGGACGAUCAGCCACACUGGGACUGAGACACGGCCCAGACUCCUACGGGAGGCAGCAGUGGGGAAUUUUGGACAAUGGGGGCAACCCUGAUCCAGCAAUGCCGCGUGUGUGAAGAAGGCCUUCGGGUUGUAAAGCACUUUUGUCCGGAAAGAAAUCGCACUGGUUAAUACCUGGUGUGGAUGACGGUACCGGAAGAAUAAGGACCGGCUAACUACGUGCCAGCAGCCGCGGUAAUACGUAGGGUCCAAGCGUUAAUCGGAAUUACUGGGCGUAAAGCGUGCGCAGGCGGUUGUGCAAGACCGAUGUGAAAUCCCCGGGCUUAACCUGGGAAUUGCAUUGGUGACUGCACGGCUAGAGUGUGUCAGAGGGAGGUAGAAUUCCACGUGUAGCAGUGAAAUGCGUAGAGAUGUGGAGGAAUACCGAUGGCGAAGGCAGCCUCCUGGGAUAACACUGACGCUCAUGCACGAAAGCGUGGGGAGCAAACAGGAUUAGAUACCCUGGUAGUCCACGCCCUAAACGAUGUCAACUAGUUGUUGGGGAUUCAUUUCCUUAGUAACGUAGCUAACGCGUGAAGUUGACCGCCUGGGGAGUACGGUCGCAAGAUUAAAACUCAAAGGAAUUGACGGGGACCCGCACAAGCGGUGGAUGAUGUGGAUUAAUUCGAUGCAACGCGAAAAACCUUACCUACCCUUGACAUGCCACUAACGAAGCAGAGAUGCAUUAGGUGCUCGAAAGAGAAAGUGGACACAGGUGCUGCAUGGCUGUCGUCAGCUCGUGUCGUGAGAUGUUGGGUUAAGUCCCGCAACGAGCGCAACCCUUGUCUCUAGUUGCUACGAAAGGGCACUCUAGAGAGACUGCCGGUGACAAACCGGAGGAAGGUGGGGAUGACGUCAAGUCCUCAUGGCCCUUAUGGGUAGGGCUUCACACGUCAUACAAUGGUGCAUACAGAGGGUUGCCAAGCCGCGAGGUGGAGCUAAUCCCAGAAAAUGCAUCGUAGUCCGGAUCGUAGUCUGCAACUCGACUACGUGAAGCUGGAAUCGCUAGUAAUC
rnacentral:rRNA from 1 species